AAGAAUCAAACCCUGAGUCUUUUGACCUAAGUAGCAACUGUUGUGACUCGGAAACUGCAUUCCCAUCUCCUGGGAAACAAAAUUACUUUCCUUUUUUGUGACAUCCUAGAGGCCAAACACAGACUAUCAUGGGACCAAGGCCAAAGGUAAGAGCCAAUGGGAGCUGGUGAUGCAAUGCUCUCUCUUUGGAAGGGUCACAGGCAUCAGAAAUAACUGGGCUACUAUUCAGGUCUGCCUCAGGGAGAAAAUCCAGAAGAGUACUUCCUAGUGAACUAUUGCAAAGCCAGCUACCUCUAGAGGUUGCAGAACCAGAACAUCAUUUGGUUCCAUUCAAGGUGGCUUCUCCAAUGGACUUCUUUGGGGGACUUUGCCUUUUUGACUUCUGCUUGGAUUUUCUCCUUGGGAGUUUGUCUUCAGAGGCUUUGCAUCAGUGAGCUGGGGUCAUUGAAGUCCAAUGGCAAGAUAAAAGUCAAGAUGACUGCUAAUGGAUGAGGAUUCAGUGGAUGACCUUGGCUUCUUCAGUAUCCAAUAAAGUUUUAAGUC